CGCAGAAAGUGAAAGGUAAAAAGAGAUUCCAAUUUUGUGGCGGACAUUCCACCACCUCCUAAAAUUCAAUGUUUAACAUCACAAAAUGAAGUUACUACUGCUUCUGAAGCCAACGACAACGAAAAUGAAAUAGAAGGCGAAUAUUUGGUUACACAACCCGUUGGGUUAUUGGUUCAAGGUAGUGCAACAGGGAAUGGUGAAGGUCAUUCAGUGGUUAGUGCAUCAACAAUAACCGCAAGUUCAACAUCAUCAUUAAAUUCCCAAGCUGAAUGCCAGAUAUAUGCUGCGAUAAUUGAAGUGAAGGAAUUAGUUAAAGAAAUCAAACAGUCGUUACAAAAUCAAAGCUUAAUAACAGCCGUUACAACUUUUG